UCCCUCAAGCAAAAAAAUGAAAAAUGUCUUGAAGUAGACUUUUCUUUAGGGUUUAAGUCUGAAUUCUCAGCGAUCCAGUGGAAAAAAGAAUGAUGGAAUCCUUGAUCAUGCUGUUAGUCAUUCUGUGGCUUCAAUUAAGCUGGGUAAAGAGUCAACAGAAGGAGCUGGAGCAGAAUCCAGAAUACCUCAGCAUUGCAGAGGGAGCGUUGGCCUCUCUCAACUGCACUUACAGCCGUGCUUCUCAGAACUUCAUGUGGUACAGACAGUAUGCUGGAAAAGGCCCAGAGCUGGUGAUGUCCAUAUAUGCCAGUGGGGACAAAGUAGAAGGAAGCCUUACAGCACGGCUCAACACAGCCAGCCAGUAUUUCUCCCUGCUCAUCAGAGACUCGAAGCCCAGUGACUCAGCCACCUAUUUCUGUGCAUUGAGCACACAGCACUCCCAAGACACCUGCAGGCUGUACCCAAACCUAGGGUAUACCCAAGUCAUGAGGACUCAGGAAUGUGGAGUGAAUAUACUGCAGGGCAGAGGGUUUCUGUUGGACUUAAUCAGAAAUUAAGAGUAAUAGUACAGGAGAGUUGAUUGUUUGGGGAAGUAUGAAAGUACCUCAAGAAGUUUUUGGAAAAUACGAUUAAAGAUAAGUUCAUUUUUGUGUUUUAAAAAACCAUUUGAAAUCCAUGCAAAGAUUUUUUUUAUAAUAUUUAUUUUUCAUGACAUUUUUGAUGAUCCUUCAUAUUUCAUAAUUAUGAAAAUAGUUGAUUUUGAAGGUAAAUUAAAGACACAAUACUGGUCUGAUUGAAAUGUUUUCCAGUCUUCUCUUUUUCCUGUAGUUCUUAAUUUUUCAAAUUGAGUUAUGAUUGGCAUGCAAAAAGGGUACAUAGUUAAUCUGUAUGUCCUGGUGAGUUUGAAGAUAAGCAAACACAUGUGAAACCAUCAUUAUAACUAUGUCAUAAGCACAACAUCAUCUAACAGUUUGCUUUCUC